UCUCCUGGGCUAUAUGGCCUAUAUAUAUAGGCUGGUGGCAUCGCUUCUUCUCAGCUAAAUCACACGAUCGAACGACAACGAUCGAGUACUCGAAGAAGCUGUCUGUGUACGUAUAGAAGCAUGGAGAGCAACCGCAGGGACCUGCAGCCACCGCCAGGCUACCCGACGGCAGCGGACACGGUGCCAGCAGGGGGCGACGGCUCGCCGCGCCGGGAAGAGACGAGGCAACGCGGCCGGAAAACUGGUUUCCUCGAUGCAUGUGUCGCCGCACUGUGCUGCUGCUGGCUGUGCGACCUGUGCUGCGUCUAGAUUGGACGGCGAAAGCAUACGAGUUUAGUUGCUUAUUAGGAAGCAAGUUUUGAUCAGGGCUUCCUUAUCAAGAGUAUCCAGAAUCACGAGUUAUAUCAUCUCGUUAUGUCGUUGCUUUGUAAUCUGGGUUGUGUAUGCGUCGUCCUAUAUGUGUGCUUGUGACUUUGCCCUUAAUUCUCUCGUUUUUCCUUUUGGAUUGGGGUGUGUAACUAUCCAUAUCGUUGCGAUGCAAUGAGUUUGUUUCUUCA